rnacentral:rRNA from 1 species
UACAGAGGGUGCGAGCGUUAAUCGGAAUUACUGGGCGUAAAGCGCGCGUAGGCGGCUUUGCAAGUCGGGUGUGAAAUCCCCAGGCUUAACCUGGGAACUGCAUUGGUGACUGCAUUGCUGGAGUAUGGCAGAGGGGGGUGGAAUUCCACGUGUAGCAGUGAAAUGCGUAGAGAUGUGGAGGAACACCGAUGGCGAAGGCAGCCCCCUGGGCCAAUACUGACGCUCAUGCACGAAAGCGUGGGGAGCAAACAGG